UUGCUGGAUGCUGACGUGCGGCGGACGGGUGAGUAAUGCAUAGGAAUCUGCCCGGUAGUGGGGGAUAACCUGGGGAAACCCAGGCUAAUACCGCAUACGUCCUACGGGAGAAAGGGGGCUUCGGCUCCCGCUAUCGGAUGAGCCUAUGCCGGAUUAGCUGGUUGGUGAGGUAACGGCUCACCAAGGCGACGAUCCGUAGCUGGUCUGAGAGGAUGAUCAGCCACAUCGGGACUGAGACACGGCCCGAACUCCUACGGGAGGCAGCAGUGGGGAAUAUUGGACAAUGGGGGCAACCCUGAUCCAGCCAUGCCGCGUGUGUGAAGAAGGCCCUCGGGUUGUAAAGCACUUUCAGCGAGGAAGAACGCCUAUCGGUUAAUACCCGGUAGGAAAGACAUCACUCGCAGAAGAAGCACCGGCUAACUCCGUGCCAGCAGCCGCGGUAAUACGGAGGGUGCGAGCGUUAAUCGGAAUUACUGGGCGUAAAGCGCGCGUAGGCGGCGUGAUAAGCCGGUUGUGAAAGCCCCGGGCUCAACCUGGGAACGGCAUCCGGAACUGUCACGCUAGAGUGCAGGAGAGGAAGGUAGAAUUCCCGGUGUAGCGGUGAAAUGCGUAGAGAUCGGGAGGAAUACCAGUGGCGAAGGCGGCCUUCUGGACUGACACUGACGCUGAGGUGCGAAAGCGUGGGUAGCAAACAGGAUUAGAUACCCUGGUAGUCCACGCCGUAAACGAUGUCGACCAGCCGUUGGGUGCCUUGAGCACUUUGUUGGCGAAGUUAACSCGAUAAGUCGACCGCCUGGGGAGUACGGCCCGCMAGGUUAAAACUCAAAUGAAUUGGACGGGGGCCCCCACMAAAAAGAGGAACAAUGUGGUUUAAUUCGAAACCCAACAAAAAAAAACCUUUACCUACCCCUUGG
rnacentral:rRNA from 1 species